UACGUAGGGGGGCAAGCGUUGUCCGGAAUCCAUUGGGCGUAAAGCGCGUGUAGGCGGCUCGAUAAGUCUGCUGUGAAAGUCCAGGGCUCAACCCUGGGAUGCCGGUGGAUACUGUCGAGCUCGAGUCCGGAAGAGGCGAGUGGAAUUCCUGGUGUAGCGGUGAAAUGCGCAGAUAUCAGGAGGAACACCAAUGGCGAAGGCAGCUCGCUGGGACGUGACUGACGCUGAGACGCGAAAGCGUGGGGAGCAAACAGG
rnacentral:rRNA from 1 species